GGUUUUUAAAAAGGGUUAUUAGCGGGCAUUCGGGCUUAAUUUUUUUGAUUUUCCCUCUUAAUCACUCCCAAAUUGCAAUAGUGACCUAAUUUCUGGUGACCUAAGACGUCUGAACUAGAUGAGUAGUUCAAUCGCUGGAGGUGGAAGGGAAGAUCUAGUUUCUUAGGAUGGACAGAAGGGUUUCGCGUAGUUCAAUCGCAAUUUCAACCCACCUUCAAUCCUAGGCAAUCACAUCAUCUGGAACAAAGAAAGGUGAAUUUUUUCUUGCUGAUGUCAAUACACAAUUGAAGAAGGACAACAUUACUACUGAUGAUGGUUUAAUAUGACAAAAUCAGCUGAAAGCUUGAAUUAGUUGAUAAAUAAGCACACUUGUUAAUUAUCAGGUUAAUGAGGCCAGAUCUUAGGAUAGACUUCAGUUCAUGUUUAAUGCAGUUCACCAAGUACCACUGAUCAGAUAAUAUUCUUGGUUAGCUGGUCUACAAAGCGCUACACGGUCGGUUCUGAUCUACCUGUUUUGUCAGGGAAAAACAAGAUCGUGUAGUAUGUCUUGAUACAUAUAGCUGCAAUGAACAAAGAGAAUUAUGGAUGUCACCGAAUUUAUGGUAGAGCCGUUAUAAAUACAUUUAUCAAAUAAGUAGACGCUGCUUGCGCAUUGUACAUAAUUCCAGAGGGGCUAAUGAAAUCAUUCAAAGCAAACAUCAAAGUUGAGAAAUACCACUUGCUUGAAAUACGUAGAGAGAUUGAAGAGGAUC
rnacentral:lncRNA from 1 species